rnacentral:misc_RNA from 1 species
AGACUCAACCCCUCGGGUUUUUGCCCGGGGUGAGUUGGAUUUGGGCCUUGCCUGACCGGCUGGCCUUAAAAGUGUUAGUGGAUUCGCACAGACGUUGUAAGCACUCGUCGAGGCGGCCCGCUCAUAACCCCCCAUAUUUUGCA